GCGGAGGAAAAGAAACCAACAGGGAUUGCCCUAGUAACGGCGAGUGAGCGGCAACAGCUCAAAUUUGAAAGCUGGCUCCGGCCCGCAUUGUAAUUUGCAGAGGAUGCUUCUGGUGAGGUGCCUUCCGAGUUCCCUGGAACGGGACGCCAUAGAGGGUGAGAGCCCCGUAUGGAUGGACACCAAACCUGUGUGAAGCUCCUUCAACGAGUCGAGUAGUUUGGGAAUGCUGCUCUAAAUGGGAGGUAAAUCUCUUCUAAAGCUAAAUACCGGCCAGAGACCGAUAGCGCACAAGUAGAGUGAUCGAAAGAUGAAAAGCACCUUGAAAAGGGGGUUAAACAGUACGUGAAAUUGUUGAAAGGGAAGCGCUUGUGACCAGACUUGCGCCGGGCAGCUCAUCAGGGGUUCUCCCCUGUGCACUCUGCCCGGCUCAGGCCAGCAUCGGUUCUCGUGGGAGGAUAAGAACGGUAGGAACGUGGCCCCCUUCCGGGGGGGUGUUAUAGCCUACCGUACGAUACUCCCGUGGGGACCGAGGUUCGCGCUCCGCAAGGAUGCUGGCGUAAUGGUCAUCAGCGACCCGUCUUG
rnacentral:rRNA from 1 species